UACGAAGGGGGCUAGCGUUGUUCGGAAUUACUGGGCGUAAAGCGCGUGUAGGCGGCUUUGCAAGUCGGAUGUGAAAGCCCACGGCUCAACCGUGGAAGUGCAUCCGAAACUGCAUGGCUCGAGUCUCGGAGAGGAAGGUGGAAUGCUUGGUGUAGAGGUGAAAUUCGUAGAUAUCAAGCAGAACACCUGCGGCGAAGGCGGCCUUCUGGACGAUGACUGACGCUGAGACGCGAAAGCGUGGGGAGCAAACAGG
rnacentral:rRNA from 1 species